AUGUAUUCAACAUUCUUAUCUUUUGCAAAGGCUAAACACUUCUACAUUGGCCAUGACUUUCAGAACAAGAACCUUGAAAAUGAAUUUCAAAUCAUAUCUGUAAGAUGAGAUUCUUCGUCAGAUUCCAAAGACCAUGAAGAGGAUGUUUGUUAGUGUUCUGUUUUCAAUGCACCGACCACAGAUAACUGUAUUCCAAUCUCACUGUGCUGAUAAUGCCCUGCAUUUACUAAAGCUAUGUGAAAACUGAAUUGAAGAGGAGGAGACAUAGAUGCAGGAAGACCAGCUAGGAGACCAGGGUAAGAAGAGAGGAAGACAUGACAAGAAUCCGACAUAUCAUG